GACGAACGCUGGCGGCGUGCUUAACACAUGCAAGUCGAACGAUGAAGCGGUGCUUGCACCGUGGAUUAGUGGCGAACGGGUGAGUAAUACGUGAGUGACCUACCUUUGACUCUGGGAUAAGCCUGGGAAACUGGGUCUAAUACCGGAUACGACCAAUCUCUGCAUGGGGUGUUGGUGGAAAGCGUUAUGGAGUGGUUUUAGAUGGGCUCACGGCCUAUCAGCUUGUUGGUGAGGUAAUGGCUUACCAAGGCGACGACGGGUAGCCGGCCUGAGAGGGUGACCGGCCACACUGGGACUGAGACACGGCCCAGACUCCUACGGGAGGCAGCAGUGGGGAAUAUUGCACAAUGGGCGCAAGCCUGAUGCAGCGACGCCGCGUGAGGGAUGACGGCCUUCGGGUUGUAAACCUCUGUUAGCAUCGAAGAAGCGAAAGUGACGGUAGGUGCAGAGAAAGCGCCGGCUAACUACGUGCCAGCAGCCGCGGUAAUACGUAGGGCGCGAGCGUUGUCCGGAAUUAUUGGGCGUAAAGAGCUUGUAGGCGGUUGGUCGCGUCUGCUGUGAAGGCCGGGGCUUAACUCCGGUUUUGCAGUGGGUACGGGCUAACUAGAGUGCAGUAGGGGAGACUGGAAUUCCUGGUGUAGCGGUGGAAUGCACAGAUAUCAGGAGGACCACCGAUGGCGAAGGCAGGUCUCUGGGCUGUAACUGACGCUGAGAAGCGAAAGCAUGGGGAGCGAACAGGAUUAGAUACCCUGGUAGUCCAUGCCGUAAACGUUGGGCACUAGGUGUGGGGGACAUUCCACGUUUUCCGCGCCGUAGCUAACGCAUUAAGUGCCCCGCCUGGGGAGUACGGCCGCAAGGCUAAAACUCAAAGGAAUUGACGGGGGCCCGCACAAGCGGCGGAGCAUGCGGAUUAAUUCGAUGCAACGCGAAGAACCUUACCAAGGCUUGACAUGCAUUAGAUCGCGUCAGAGAUGGCGUUUCCCUUCGGGGCUGGUGUACAGGUGGUGCAUGGUUGUCGUCAGCUCGUGUCGUGAGAUGUUGGGUUAAGUCCCGCAACGAGCGCAACCCUCGUUCUAUGUUGCCAGCGGUUCGGCCGGGGACUCAUAGGAGACUGCCGGGGUCAACUCGGAGGAAGGUGGGGAUGACGUCAAAUCAUCAUGCCCCUUAUGUCUUGGGCUUCACGCAUGCUACAAUGGCCGGUACAGAGGGUUGCGAUACUGUGAGGUGGAGCUAAUCCCUUAAAGCCGGUCUCAGUUCGGAUUGGGGUCUGCAACUCGACCCCAUGAAGUCGGAGUCGCUAGUAAUCGCAGAUCAGCAACGCUGCGGUGAAUACGUUCCCGGGCCU
rnacentral:rRNA from 1 species